UACGAAAGGUGCAAGCGUUACUCGGAAUCACUGGGCGUAAAGCGCACGUAGGCGGACUCGCAGGUCAAUUGUGAAAUACCUGGGCUCAACCCGGGAACUGCAGUUGAAACCGCUUGUCUUGAAUACCUGAGAGGGUGGGGAAUACCUGGUGGAGAAGUGAAAUUCGUAGAGAUCAGGUGGAACACCGGAGGCGAAGGCGCCUGCCUGGCAGUGUAUUGACGCUGAGGUGCGAAAGUGCGGGGAGCAAACAGG
rnacentral:rRNA from 1 species